rnacentral:lncRNA from 1 species
CAGUUGAGAACCGUUACUUGACUGGUACCUCCAGCCCACCAGCAGGCAAUGAUGGCAUCAGACUAGAGGAUCACCAGUAAAUCAUUGUAAACAGAGAAGGAGCCAACAGAGUGAGAUGAAGGGGACAACUUCAGAUACUCAGGCAGAAGGAUAAGUCCCCACCUGCUGACCUGCUGCCUGCUAUCUUAACACGAAUUCUUCAUCUGAAUGGAUGAGCUUUUCACAGGGUUCCAAACUAAGGAAUCCAGGAGUGGCCAAUCCAGAGAUUCAUUCCUUAUCUUUGACGAACAUCUGAACUCCUGGCUCAUCCUGUGGAAUUCAGGCCAUACAGGAGAUCAAGGUCAUUUGCUUUGGGUUAAAUGAAUGUUGCCAGGUGGAGGUUGCUAGAGGGAGAGUGCUAUGUGAAAGUGCUGUAUAAACUGCUUGCUUUUCACAAACAGUAGUGAUUCUUUAUCCUGUCCAGCCUGCCACAACUGGACCAUCCUGUAUGUAAGUCCCCUUAAUAAAUCCUGUGUCUCAUUCACUGGCUGUCUAUGUGAAUUCACGCCAAGUCAUGUGACAGUUUGCAUAAUGAAGUGUCAGCAGAUGUGAUGGAAACAGAAGUAAAUAAAAUAUUUGCACGUUGCUGCUUGCUCCCUUUUACCUCAGCCUUUACCAGGGAGAACAAACCCAGCUAACCUGCUAGAGGAUGACAGACACGUCAACCAGAGCUGGUGUCCCAGUCACCCAAGCCAAGGCCAUUCUACCUAAGCCCACAGCUAAUUCACCUCCAGAAAUGUGAGCAAGCCUAGCCAAGAUCAGCCAAGCCAAGCUCAGAGAGACAAUUUAGCACAAACUAUCAAAAGCUUUAAAAGAUGUCUUUAUCUAUAGUUAGAAUUACACAUUUAAGAAUCUACCUUAUUGGGAAAAAUACAGUCAAAGAUUUUAUAGAAAA